rnacentral:misc_RNA from 1 species
AACGCAUAUGGCACCCGAGACCUCGGUCGAGGGUAUGUCUGCCUCAGAGUCGGCGUAAAAAUUAUCCCCUGUUGGCUCAGCUUCGAGUCCUUCGGGGGGAACUGACCCUUCCCGCGCCGUCGGUGCGGGUUGGUCGAAGGCGAGAUACGGGUAAACCUGGCCGUGGCCGUUCCCGGCUGGACCGAGAUUUGCUGGAAGGACAUACGUCCGACUUACGUCUCGGGCCAAGGGUUACGGCAGUGCCAAGGUAGCCCGCUUUGCAGGAAAUCGGUGGUUGACCACAGUCGAGGGCUCUGCCCGAGCUUGGUCCCCACCCUUUGCAUCCGACCUGAGUUCAGGCAAGAUCACCCGCUGAACUUAA